rnacentral:rRNA from 1 species
AUGGAUGGACCCGCGGUGCAUUAGCUAGUUGGUGAGGUAACGGCUCACCAAGGCCACGAUCUCAUAGCCGACCUGAGAGGGUGAUCGGCCACAUUGGGACUGAGACACGGCCCAAACUCCUACGGGAGGCAGCAGUAGGGAAUCUUCGGCAAUGGACGAAAGUCUGACCGAGCAACGCCGCGUGAGUGAAGAAGGUUUUCUGAUCGUAAAACUCUGUUGUUAGAGAAGAACAAGGGUGAGAGUAACUGCUCACCCCUUGACGGUAUCUAACCAGAAAGCCACGGCUAACUACGUGCCAGCAGCCGCGGUAAUACGUAUGUGGCAAGCGUUGUCCGGAUUUAUUGGGCGUGAAGCCAGCGCAUGCCGUUUCUUAAGUCCGAUGUGAAAGCCCCCCCCUCAACCGGGGAGGGUCGUUGGAAACUGGGACACUUGAGUGCGGAACACGCCAGUGGAAUUCCCUGUGUAGCUGUGAGAUGCGCAAACAUGGGGAGUAAAACCCGUUUGCCACCGCGGCUCUCUGGGCUCUGGCUCUGUCUCAGACGCAAAAAACCCCCGUAGCCC